rnacentral:rRNA from 1 species
AUUGAACGCUGGCGGCAGGCCGAACAUAUGCAAGUCGAGCGAGCGGCGGAGGGGUGAGGAAUGUAUGGGGACUGCCAGAUAGAGGGGGAUAACUACGGGAAAAGGCGGCUAAUAGCGCAUACCAUCGGAUAACCCAGAUGGGAUUAGCUAGUAGGUGGGGUAAAGGCUCACCUAGGAGACGAUCUCUAGCUGGUCUGAGAGGAUGACCAGCCACACUGGGAUGGAGACCAGGCCCCAACUCCUACGGCGGCGCCCGUGCGGCAUAUGGCACAUUGGGCGCUAGCCUGAUGCCGCCAUGCCGCGUGUAGGAAGAAGUCCUUAGGUUUGUAAAGUACUUUCAGCGUGUAGGCGUUCCCCUCAGAAGAAGCCCCGGCUAACUCCGUGCCAGCAGCCGCGGUAAUAC